rnacentral:lncRNA from 1 species
AAAAAUAUCAAAGGUUAGGGGCAAAACAGUCAUUUGGACUGGGGGUGAGAAUUAGAAUUGUGAUGUAUAAUGUGGGGUAUUAAUGAUAUAAUUUUGUUGUUAUAGACUCCGAGGAACAAAUUCCGGAGGUCGAUCGAGGUAAACGAAAGGUUUUGGAAUAACCGAAACACAACUCCGAAACAAAUACAAGGUAAGUUCGGAUAACUUAAAGUGAACCCCUAAUAUGCAUAUUUGUAUGAUUUAUUAAUGCAUGAUGAUUUCAUUUAUUAUUGGCAUGAAAUAUCAUAGAAAUGCAUAUUUGAUGGUAACAUGUGAAAAAUGUCUCGGUUGAGGUUGACAAAGGGAAUUCGAUGGUAACCUGUAAUUACACAUGAUUCGAGGUCCUGCAUGUGUUGCAGUAAGGAUUUAGCCUGGACAGGUAAUCUAUUGAUCUCAAUUAUGAAAAUAAUCUAGCUUGGACGGGUGUUCCCUUAAUGAUCGAGCCUCCCGAAGAAUAUGUGUGCAUUAUGGAUUUAGCCCAAACGGGUAAUCUGAUCAGGGUCUGAAUUUAGCCUGGACUGGUAAUUCAAAUCCAAGCUCAUUAAGGGUGUAUGUCUAUAAGGGAUUUAGCCUGGACUGGUAAUCCCGACAUCACCUUAUGAGUUCAUGAUAUGGGGAAUUUAGCCUAGACUGGUAAUCCUGCCAUAAGAUGUGAGGUUCGCGGGAGUGCAUAUAUGUGAAAUGAUCGUUCGUAAGAAUUAACGGAUAAUGGGUAUUCCAUCGAGAUUUCCUAGAAAGUUAAUGGGAUUAAUAUGAUGUAUGUCAAUAAGAUGAUGAAUGAUGAGCUUAUCUACAUAAAUUACAUGAUGCUUUGUUAUGUAACUAAAUCGUUGAUUGAGUGCAUGUGAUAGGGAAUCAUUUCAUGAUUGAUGAUUUCAUGAUUUAAAUAUGGAUGUAUGAUGAUGUAUGAUUUCAUGAUUGAUGAUUGGAGAGUCGAUACACUAUCAACUAGACAAGCUUUGGUAUAAAGACAUUUCUAUUUUGUUCAAUGGCAUGUAUAGGAUUUUUUGAGUAUUUUGUUAUAUGUGUCAUUUGCUUUGCCAAAUGAAGGCAUGUAAAAAUAUGUUUAUUUCUUUGUUUAUGGCCAUGAAAAUUGGCUUAAUUGAAGUAAGCUAUGACCUACGAAUCUAUGCAUGAUUUUAUUUACAUGUGAUGGGCUGUUACCAAUUGGCAAUGAGUCGCAUGAACGAGCCAAUUUCGAACGAAUUAAAGUGACAUGGGAACCCAUAAACACUAAAUGGGAAAUAACCUUUCAUGUAUGAAACCAAUGAUAUGAGGUUUCCAUACAAUAACGGUACGUUUGGUUCACUGUAAUGGAAUAGGG